CCACUACGAAUUUUUUAAGUAGUAAAGAAAUAGAGCGAUAAAAGAAUUCACAUGAUCUUGUUAACGAUGUUGGUGUGGAGCCCCCAAUAUUGGUAUCCAUGUCUUAAUGUGUGUAAGCCAGCUAAACAAUCCUCACAGCAUGCUUCACAUAAAGAGUAAUAAAAGGUUAGCUACAUUUGAAGUGUUUUGCCACACUGAGUUCCAAAUCAAUUUUUGGCCAUGUACACAUAAAAUUUGCUUUUCCAUAUAUGUAUGAGGGCCAGAUAAAAUAAUCAAGUGUCUCAACAGCAGUAUGUUUUUUAGAGUAUGAUUAACAUUAUGGUUUUUAGAGCAUGAUAAUUGCAACAAUUAAAUAAUUGCCAACUUUUUGGGCUGCAUGAGUGUCUAGACUGAAUCCAAUCUUAAGCAAAAGGGUAAGCAAUUUUCCCUUGCUAAAGUAAAAUUUUUCCAUUAGAAAUUACUGAGGGAAUCGAUUUCAUAAUUGCCUGCAAAUUGCUUUAAAAAUAAAAAGGGUGGUCAGAUGCCAUUCCUUUUAUGAACAUUUCCUUUUUUUUUCUCCUUCCCUGAUAGCACAUAUGUGUUUUCUUUAUGAGAUUCCCUUGAAAAUGAGAACGUAAAAUGAUCUAGAUAUAACCAAAAUACCCAUCCAAACAUGCCAAAAAGAAAAUGAAAUAUUAAAGAUUCCUAAGCUCGAAGAAUCUACUCACUGAUAACGUAGGAUAAAAAAAAAACUCACAGGUGUAACUAUAAUGGUAUAUCAGUGACCAAUCCCAGAGAAAAGAGACGUGAACUUCACCCACGAUAUACAUGUAUGGAUGCACCUUAGCAUAGCAUAGUGAAUCAGUACAGGUUGUGCUUAGGUAUUUACUGAAAAUCCUUAAUAUUAUCAACAAUAUACAUGUUGUUACAAGCAUUUCUCUUAGCAAUUCAGUGUACGAACUGUAGUUCACAUCCUUGUUCAUUUCGUUAUAUCAAGCAAGAAAUUUGUGAACGAAAAAGGAAGUUAACGCUAUUUUAUAAAUUCAGAUAAAUGAUCGAUUUGACAUGUUCAGAGUAACAGUUUACUCUAGUUUGAUACACUUCAUUGGAAAAAAAAAGAUCCAAUGAUCAUGAAGACAAUAACCAAUUUAAAAUCUUACUGCUUGCACAUAAUUUUACAAGGAAAAUAAGAGCAAUUCUAUAUUAUCAGGAAAUGGAUUGAAUACCAAUGGCAUUAAUAUGACACAUAAACUGUUGCAAGCUUCAGUUAUGAUGUCAGUAAUAGAAGGGAAUGAACCUUCAGGAUCAGGGCUCUCAGGAUGAGCAAGGAAAAACACCGUCUAGGCAAGCUUGUUCAAGCACUCCUUAAUCAGCACGAUCAACAAGUUGCAUUUUUUUCUAAGACUUUAGUCCAAUUGAGGAUAGAUCAAGAAGAGGAAGGAGCUCGCAUUGUACCAGGGCAGAGAGGACUGCCGACGCUGAUAUUGUAGGACUGACUGUGGCGCUCGGAAUCAUUUGUAAUCAUAAGCAAAUUAAUAAGCUACGUGGAUGUGGUUGUUGUAAUUUAUUUGGAGUAAUCAGUUUAAUUUAAUCACAGACACAUUGUGAAAUUACACGUUUUUUGGAUGCCCUAUAGCAAAUUUUGCUAUCUAGAAUAGAAACUGAAUGACUGAGACGUGAAUCCUAACAGCCCACACAACUCCCUUGUUACGAAGUAUUCGGCACAUGACAUCAGCACAAAGAGAAAUCUGCUUGUAUGUCCAAGGUACUGUAGGUUCAAAGAAAGAAAUUCUUGACUGGAUGUCUACAAUUUAACCCUUUGCAUGGUGCAGUAGAAAUGUUUAUAGACCAUUUAGCGAAGAUUGAUCCAUGCAGGAGACAUUUGCACUAUUUGUAAGGGGUAAUCAUGAUGGAAGGAAAUUACCUUUACCAAACAGAAAUUUAGUAGAAUCAGCCAAAAAUCUCCUUGAUUGUGCAGUAAACAAUAGCAAUUGGCAUGGUGUCCAGUCAGCUUUGCUUCGACAAUCUGAACUUUUUUUCCCUACAUAUUAAAUAAUUUGAUAUCAAAGGUUAAGUCAGUUUGCGAGAUAUAAGUUUUUUUUUUUUUUAAAAAAAGAAGUGUACCAUCACUUCAGAGACAACUGUGAUAGUUAAUCUACAUACAAAAUUAAGUUUGAGGGACACAGAACUGAGUAUGAAUGCUUAGCACUUCGAUCAGACUCCACAACACACUAUACACACUUAAGUUGACAGAAUUGCAUCUCCUAUAGGAUUUGCAGAAAAAACAGAGGAAUGAAUGUAUAGCACCUGCAGAUUGGUGUAUUCUCAAAUGAUCCUACAGGUAAAUCACAGGAGGCCUCUCAUCUGCAUGACAGAAGAGAUAGAUUGCUUUUAGUAAGUAAACUGAAUAAUAAUUUUUUAACACCACAAAUUGCAAAAUACAGGAUUGGUCCAAUCACUUGGAUGGUCAACAAAUGAGAAAACUGCAUGCCAGAUGGAUACCUUGUUGAUCUAACCACAAUAUAGAGCACUCAAGAAAUCUAGAACGCUGCUCGAUGAAAUGUGUAUGUGCUGCCAACCAGACCUAGCAACUCCUACUUACUUCUAGGUCGUCGGCGACGCGGGCGCGGGUGUUCCAGAGGUGGCACGGAGGAGAUUGGUGGGGUGGCCCUCGCUGGCGACGCGGAUGGGAGAGAUCGGCGUGGGCGGAGCAGAUUGGUGAGGGAGUACCGACGGUGGCACGGAGGAGAUCGGCACGGUCGGAGCAAAUCGGUGGAGAGAUCGGCUCGGGCGAAGGAGAUCGGAGGACGACGACCCUGGCAACUCCUGUUCAGCCGUGGUGGAAGACGGCGAUGGCGGCGACGAGGACGGCGGGGGCGAUCGAUGGCGGCGGCAGUGGGGGAGCGAUCUGGUGGAGGACGGCGUGGGCGGCGGGGAGGAUCGAUGGCGGCGGCAGCGCGGGACGGUGGGGGAGGACGGUGGGACGGCGGGGAGGAACAGCUAGUCGAGGAGGACGGCGAGGGCGAGCGGGCGAGAGGAAGGACGGCGAAAAGCGAGCGGGCGCGCGGAAGCCGGAAAGCCAGGGCGGAGAGAAGCGGAUGCAGCGCGAUUGGAGCGCGAUGGUGUGGACGGAUAGGAGCGUUUGGAGCGUCGAUUUGGUGGGAGGAUCCUCCGAU
rnacentral:lncRNA from 1 species